ACAGAGAUUCUCCCGUCUCUGCCUCCCAAGUGUUGGGACUAAGGCAUGUGCCACCACCACCCAGCUACAUUUUAUUUCAUAAACAGUCAUUUUCUGAGCAACUUCGUGAUGAGCACUGACUGCCCUCAAAGAGCUGAAUGCAGUGAAUUCCUGGGCUGACUGGUUUUCCUGAGUCUCUACUUAGACCCACUCUCCUCUGGUCCACUCCAGCCUGGGUAAAGUGGACCUCAUUGUUCCCAUCACAGAAACAGCACUGAGUGUGGCCUCUUCUGUACCCCAUAGGGCAUUUGGACCAGUCUGUUAUGAUUGAGUUUAAAUCCUUGCCUAGGUACAGGAGCCUCAAGCCCCAUACUUCCCCCCUCCCUCCUCACCUCUUCUGCCACCAUUCCUUUGCUCUGUUUACAGGCUCCUCCCUCCUGAUGUUCCACGUGUUUCAGCUCUUCCUGGAUCCAAAUCCGGCUUUUACCACCUAGGAGACAAGGACUUGAGUGGGGACUGGCCACUUCUGAUCUGGGUGUCCCCAGCCUCAUCUCACUCACCUGUAGCUCCCAGAGUGCCCUUUCAAAUUGGCUCAACCCACCAUCUGUCAAAAUGUCUCCAAGAAGGACUGAACGAAGUGUCUUCAGAGUGUCCCUGCGGGCCCUCAUCUCCUCUACUGCAUUCCACAAGAUGCUGGGAAUCAACUCCAAGGCCUUAAGCAUGCUGGGCAAGUGCUUACCAAUAAUCUAUUUUCCAACCAUUCCUUGAUGUUGUUUUCCAGUGUGUGAGACUAUCUGGCUGUGUAACCCACUCUAGCCUUGAGUUUGUAGUAUUCCUACCCCACUCACUCUUCUGAGUGUUGGAAUUACAGGUAUGUGCCACCAAAUUAGGCUUCAUUGACAUUGUGGUCUAAUCUAUAUCCCCCAAUGUAACCUCCUCCCAAAUCUGGUAUUACAGCUUCAGGAUCCUCAUUUGUAAUGGGUAUGUGGAAAUAGGAAAGUGUUUUCUCCUCUGUAGUCCUUUCCUAAUAUAUAAGUUAAGCCUGCCUCCCUCUCAUUUGUGAAUUAGACUUGCAUUCUGGGAUGUGGCUGCUUACUCCUGGAAUCCCAGCACUCAAAAUGCUGAGGCAGGCAGACUUCCAGGAGUUCAAAGCCAGUUUGGGCUACAGUGACACCCUGUUGAAGAAAAAAGGUGUUAAAAUGCUUGAUAAAGAUCCUGAAUAUGGGGGCUGGAGAGAUGGCUCAGAGGUUAAGAGCACUGACUGCUCUUCCAGAGGAUCCGAUUUCAAUACCCAGCAACCACAUGGUGGCUUACAACUAUCUAUAAUGA